rnacentral:rRNA from 1 species
AUUGAACGCUGGCGGCAGGCCUAACACAUGCAAGUCGAGCGGAUGAAGGGAGCUUGCUCCUGGAUUCAGCGGCGGACGGGUGAGUAAUGCCUAGGAAUCUGCCUGGUAGUGGGGGAUAACGUCCGGAAACGGGCGCUAAUACCGCAUACGUCCUGAGGGAGAAAGUGGGGGAUCUUCGGACCUCACGCUAUCAGAUGAGCCUAGGUCGGAUUAGCUAGUUGGUGGGGUAAAGGCCUACCAAGGCGACGAUCCGUAACUGGUCUGAGAGGAUGAUCAGUCACACUGGAACUGAGACACGGUCCAGACUCCUGCGGGAGGCAGCAGUGGGGAAUAUUGGACAAUGGGCGAAAGCCUGAUCCAGCCAGGCCGCGUGUGUGAAGAAGGUCUUCGGAUUGUAAAGCACUUUAAGUUGGGAGGAAGGGCAGUAAGUUAAUACCUUGCUGUUUUGACGUUACCAACAGAAUAAGCACCGGCUAACUUCGUG